CACUCACACUGUUUGUCUCUCCAUUUCAUUUCUCACCCUUUCUCACUCCUUUCUUUUUCCUCACAAUUUCCAUUUUUAUUUCUGGUCUUUCUUCAUUUUCUCUUUCACAAUCACCCUUCCCGACAACGUCCAUGUCUCCUCCCUCCCCUCUACCACGUGAAACGACCCCUUUCUACUUCUUUCAUCCUCCCAGGAACCGUUUCUUGCUUUGUUUUCCCACAGGGUGUGUGGGGAUCUGGCGUGCAGCUGGGAGAUCCCGGCAGGGCUGGCUCCAGACAGGAACGAGGCGUCUGCGGGAAGGAGCGAGGCAUUCUGCUCAGGUCCUGAGUGCUGAACACCCAAAGACUUUCCCCGCUUGCUUGGCUCUGCAGGAGGCACUGAGAAAUUUGGGAACAAUGGCUCGGGAGGCCAAGGAGAGGCUGCUGAGCCAUAAAGGUGGACAGAGGGAUGCUCGAUACUUGUUUGGGGUGGUUGGGGUGAUGGAAGGGCUGAGAGGGAGGGAGAGGUGGGUGCAAGACUGGGUGGGCUGAGUCAUGGACAGAAGGAUGGUGAUCGGAUAGAUAGAGCAGCUGCCCGGUGCAAAAAUCAGCUAGUUUGGAGAGGAACGUACAGGGACUGGAAUGGAAUCGUUUCAGGAAAAAAUGGAGAGAGGGAGGGACAGACGGAUGGACAGAUGGAGAGAGGGAUGGUUUAAUGGGCUGGUUACUGGAUGGAUGGAUGGAUGGAUGGAUGGAUGGAUGGGUUGGUGGUGGAUGGACUGACAGAUUGUUAGGUGGGUGGAUGGAUGGCCAGCUCACCUUUCUUUUGGGCAUUUAUACUGAUAGACACGGCUUGGCUUGUGAAGGACGGGAUCCACCUCUCAGGCUUUUUUUCCUCAUACUUGCAGGUAAAGUUUCCACUCUGUUGGGGACCAGCACGUGGGAGCUGGAGGACCAUGGAAGUCCUUAAAUUGCCCCCGUGAUCUGCUGCAUUGUCCUCAGAGCCUUCUGUCGUAGGGAGGACCUCUUGGCCAUCCCUGUAGAAGUGAAACCUCCGUACAGUGGCGUCUCCAGGGGCCUUACAGAUGAUGCUCAGGAGAUCUCCUGCCAUCACCUCUCCCAGCGGGGACUCCACCAUCAGCAGGGGCUGGGGAAGGUGGUCUGAGAAAAGGGGAGGAAUAAAUGGAGACGUAGCAAUAAGGACA
rnacentral:lncRNA from 1 species